UCAUUUCUUCUUAUUUUCAAAACCCUCAUUUUUUCUCUCUCCUCAGAAACUUCCCUUCUCUCUCCUCUCUGCUCCAGCGGCGAUGACGAAGAAGACGCCGGAGAAGACAACGGUGGUACUUCCUUGCCACCGUGGCCAUCAACUACUCGCCCGACUCUCCUCCUUCCGUAGAUCGAAGAGAUGAUGUCCAUAGGAUAAGAAAGACGGAGAUCUAAGUUUCAGCUUCGAUCAAGUGCUAUGAGGAUUCUGCUCAAGCUAGUGUCUACGAAGUUUCUUUGCCGGUUGUUCAAGGUUGCUGGUGGUUGCGUCUUUCAGGUUGCUGGUGGCUCAAUGCCUGGGCUGGUGCAAUUGGUACAAGGUACAACCUGCCUGUGUUUUUGUUGUUGUUCGCGGAGGAGCAACGGUGCGGUAAUCCCUGUUCAUACCAAAACUUGCGGAAUAUAUUUAAUUUGUUUUACACUUUUAGUUACAAUUAAUAUUGCUUUAGUUAAUAAUUAUUUUGUUUUAGUUAAGAAUAAUUAACUUUUAGUGAAGAAAUUUUCGACGAUUCCACCCCCUAACUCUUCUUUAGCCCCGCUGGCGCAGCAGCUAAAGCAGGUUAGUGAAGACUAAACUUGUUUUAGCUAGUACUAAUACUAAGAGACCUGAAGUCCGAACUAGGCUUUGUAGUCUUGUAGAGGUUCUUGCUUGCUUAAGGAUGUGUUGCUACAUUAAUUUUCUGCAACUUUUGAUGGAGACCUGGCUAUUGAUCUUGAUGUGUUGGUUUGUGUUGACUAUGUCGAGUGCUUUGUUGAUGUUAUAAUUUGUGUUUUAUUUUGGUUUGUGCUUUAUAAAUCAGUAAAUAUAGAUGCAUAACUUUAUAUUUAUGUGCAACAGGAUGUUUCUGGGAAAUGGUAGAGUAUUGAACAAAAUUGACCUCCCAAGCAGAGGAGUCGAGGCACAGGCACAGGCACAGGGCCACAUGGCAAUUAGUGAAACUCCAACGUUUAUCCCCGUUCCUCUACUCUGCUCUCGUCGUUGCUGCGUGUGGAGGGUUGGGGAAUGCAGGUGGCGGAGCAGCAGAGGAGACGGUUGUGGAGUGGGAUAGGGCGCUUGCUGUUGCUGGUUGGAGCAUGCUGGCAAGGAAGAUGGAGGAUUGAGGUGGUACCUCUUGGUGUGGUGAAGGAUAGGCUGGAAAUGGGGUGUAGUUUAAGUCUCAAAUGCUUGAUGCGUGUUGUUUUGUGAUGUACCGUUGUUGUAGACUUGUAGUUGUUCGUUUAAUUAGUUUUAAUUCAGAAUAAUUUUGUUUUAGUUGUUAUUUAUUUCGUUUUAGUUAAUAAUAAUGUUUUUUUAGUUAUGAUUUAUUUUGUUUAAGUUAUAGUUAAGAAUUUUUUUUUUAAGUUACACUUUUGUUAUAUUUAGUUAUGAAAUAUAAUGAUUUAGUUAGA